UUUCACCUCGGACUGCUUUCUCAACGAGGGCCAGUACAAUGCGGGAUUCGCUACAUUCUGAAAAUAAAGCAUGGAUAAGCACCGACUGUCCGAGACCCAACUUCAAACUUGGGAGCUACCAGCACAUCAAGUGCAUCUAUACAGCUUCCUGCAACAAGGGAUGUUGCAUGCCAGACUGACCCACUGUAGGCACACAGUUAUCCUUGAGGACUCUUCAGCCUCACAUCAGAAGUACAGCUCUGUAGCCAUCUGAAGUGCAUCUACUUUUGAUAAACCUAACAGUCAUUUAUCAGUCUUGGAAUAAUGUGCAGACUCUACCUGGCUGCCAUGUUCUACAAUGAAAAUGCUGACUGACCACAAGCCCACACAAAAGAAGGUGAACCACUGUUCAAGGUCCAAUUUCCAAAGGCCAUGAAGGGAGAAUGCAGAGCUACACCAGUUAAGACUGAGCCGACAUUCUGUGUUAUAUUAUUUUAUUUUUUCACAUUGUAUUAAGUAUUGCACGUAUAAUGUUAUGACAGUUCCACCAACAACAAAAUACAAUAAAGAAAAUGUCAGGAGGUAGUUAGAAACAGACUUUCCGUCAUUGUUUUGUAAAAAAAACAACAACAAAAAAGUGAAAAACAAAAUCUUUUGUGUUUUAUCAAACAGGGAAUGUGGUGGACCUCAUAUAUGAAAAAGUCUUUGUUGACCUGGGACCAUACACAGAAGCUGCUUUGGCCAUCCCCGUCCCAGAGGACCUCACUGCACAGUUCGAGCGGCCUGAGAAGGAGGAGGUCAUAUCCAGCUCUGUGUCCCGGUUCUAUCAUGGGCCAGUCUAAAACCCACAUACCGGCCUGUGGCGUCAGGAAACACGGCAUGGAUGCGUAGGACCACGCAGGCUGGAAUGACGACCAAGAUUCUGCGAACAAGGAAGCCCCAGCACCAGCUCACAAAGCUCCUAUAGGCUAGAUACCUGUACUGACUAAAACAACUGGACAGGGCAUUUAGUCUUGCAAACAUAUAUCUAUGGUGUGUCUCACAAUUUUUUUUAUGGAUCCAGUGAAUCCUACAGUUUUUUUAUUAUCACUGAUUAUAAGUCCCUCAUUUGAUGUAAAUAAAUGCUUGAUCGUUACUAAAGAAAUGACUCCUCUGAAUUCAUAUUAUAUGCACACUAUCUGCUGAUAGAAGAACUUUACAAAUCAAAGAGCAGCUAAACUAAUUUAUUUGAGGGUGUGUUACUCUAUUUGUGGUGUGUUAUUACCAUUGUAAAAUUAUGUGCACUGAAGUAAAACAAGACUGCCUAACAUCUUUUGUUUAGAUUGAAACUAUAUGUUUUUACAAAGAAGCAAAACGUACUGGUGUACUCCUCUCAACCAUAAAGGACCAUAGUCAGUGCGGUACAUGUUGCAGGCAGAACACAUUGAGGCAGAGCGGCUCCAACCCAGGACGGUCUACCAUACAUGGUAAAUCUUCCUCGAUCUCCCACAGCCGUCUGGUAACCUACAGUGAAUUACAAAUGGUAAAUGCUAUGGUUUAUUAUAAAUGUAAACGAAACAAAUUACUGAUUAAUUUGUCUAGUGAGA